CCAAGGGGGCCCAGCAGUGAUAAAUAUUAAGCCAUAAGCGAAAGCUUGACUUAAUUAAGGCCAAAUUUAGAGCCGGUAAAACUCGUGCCAGCCACCGCGGUUAUACGAGAGGCUCAAGUUGACACUUUUCGGCGUAAAGCGUGAUUAAGGACUAUAACAAACUAAAGCCAAACACCUCCCAAGCUGUCAUACGCAAUCGGAGGCAGGAGGCCCCCCAACGAAAGUAGCUUUAAUAAACAAAUCCUGAAUCCACGACAGUUAAGAAACAAACUGGGAUUAGAUACCCCACUAUGCUUGACCGUAAACAACGAUGACAUAACACAAAUAUCAUCCGCCAGGGGACUACGAGCGCCAGCUUAAAACCCAAAGGACUUGGCGGUGCCUUAAACCCACCUAGAGGAGCCUGUUCUAUAACCGAUAAUCCCCGUUAAACCUCACCACCCCUUGUUAAACCCGCCUAUAUACCGCCGUCGCCAGCUUACCUUAUGAAAGCACAACAGUAAGCCAAAUGGGUGCCCCCCAUAAACGUCAGGUCGAGGUGUAGCGAACGGAGUGGGAAGAAAUGGGCCUACAUUUUCUGCCCCAGAAUACUACGGGAAAGUGUCAUGAAAACAACACUAAUGAAGGUGGAUUUAGCAGUAAAAAGAAAAUAGAGU
rnacentral:rRNA from 1 species